AAUAUAUAAAGAUGAGGUGCGAGCUCUCAAUGAGACUUGUGUGUAACUUCCACUAAGGGAAUGGUCUAGUCACUAGAGGUUUUAAAGAUUUUAUUUUUUCCUUUUUCUCCCCAAAGCCCCCCAGUACAUAGUUGUAUAUUCUUCGUUGUGGGUCCUUCUAGUUGUGGCAUGUGGGACGCUGCCUCAGCAUGGUCUGAUGAGCAGUGCCAUGUCCGCACCCAGGAUUCGAACCAACGAAACACUGGGCCGCUUGCAGCAGAGCGCGCAAACUUAACCACUCGGCCACGGGGCCAGCCCCUACUAGGGGUUUUUUAGUGGAAACAUUUCAAACAUCAGCGAGGCUUUUUUACACACAAAAAGAAGAGGUUUUAAAGAGUUAACAAUUACUCCAAACUGGUCGUGGUCUCCGUUGCAGUCUCUGAAAUCCGACGGCCAAUUUUUAUCCUUUAAGGGAAUUAUUAAUGUGUAUUCACAGAACAAAAUGCACAAAUCUCUAAUGGACAAAUGGACAGCUAUAUGAAUAUUGAAAUAUGCAACCUUCAACAGGAUCAUAACAUACAGAAAUUUUCUAUCAUCUAAGCAUGGCCCUUUGAUACACUUUCCAGCACAGGAGAGGCGUCUCAGUCAUUUCUGCUGGUUGGGAAAGGCUUAUUGUGCCCAGGAAUGCAGCUGGUGUGCAGAAGGUGAGUGAAGGGUAAAUGGGGUGAGAGGCAAGAAGCAGCCGGCUAGCCCAGACAUGGAGCUGGCGCUGGACACAGAGCUUCCCAGAGAAGCCAGGCGUCAGGCUUCCUUGUUCCUGGAAAGGGUACCUCCUUCCGACCUGACCCCAAAGAGCCAGCAUGCAGGGGCUGCUGUGACCAUACUCUCCGUGGGGUCCCCACGUAUGAACACACCCAUGGCCAGCUGCGGGUUAGUAGCAUUUGGAGAGAAAGAAGGUAUCACGCAAAAAGCAGGGCUUCUCCAUACGCUUGGUCAGGAAAGAAAAAAGCCAGGAAUACAGAGGUGGAGACUGCCGAAUGUGGCACACCAAAGUAUGCUGUCCUGGGCCUGGGUUGGCAGAGAGCAAUGAGGCAACAUGGAAGAGACAUCAAGAACCAGAGAAUAUCUGGUGAGAGCGCAAACUCAGUCCUCUGCUAGCAUUAAUUCCACAGCCAAAUCUCCCACAUGCAGGGAAACAGCAUGGGUCAGCACAGCCAGCCAGAGGAAAACGACUUUUGUGGGCGAGUUAUCUCUUCAACCAGAUCUUCGGAGCAAGUGUGCAGUGCCUGGUAGAGUCCACAGAGGUUUAAAAAAAAAACAAAACAGCAGUUGGAGAAGUUGUGGCAUUUGCCUGGAACAUCAUUGUUUUGAUAUUCUGGUAUUGAUUUUUACACCUACCUUCUGCUUAUGGAACUGAUACCGGUUUUCCAUUUGUGGUAGUGGGAUGAAUUAAAAAGUCAAACUACUCAGGAAAAAGAAUAUGAAUCGAUUGAAAGAAAAUAUUUUAAAAAUAUAUUCAGCUCUCGCUCAACUGACAAGUGUGUGGAUACGGCAAAAGCCUGGGGCCCCUAGCAUGUGUGCUGAUGCUGUGCCAGUCAUUGGAUCUGUGCCUGUGAUCCAAUGCCGCUCUGGUCUGCUGCUCCAAAAAUCCUGAAGCCAGGUCACGGUCUCCG
ensembl:lncRNA